CAUUUAUGGAGAGUUUGAUCCUGGCUCAGGACGAACGCUGGCGGCGUGCUUAACACAUGCAAGUCGAACGGUGAUGUCAGAGCUUGCUCUGGCGGAUCAGUGGCGAACGGGUGAGUAACACGUGAGUAACCUGCCCCCGACUCUGGGAUAACUGCUAGAAAUGGUAGCUAAUACCGGAUAUGACGAUUGGCCGCAUGGUCUGGUCGUGGAAAGAAUUUCGGUUGGGGAUGGACUCGCGGCCUAUCAGGUUGUUGGUGAGGUAAUGGCUCACCAAGCCUACGACGGGUAGCCGGCCUGAGAGGGUGACCGGCCACACUGGGACUGAGACACGGCCCAGACUCCUACGGGAGGCAGCAGUGGGGAAUAUUGCACAAUGGGCGAAAGCCUGAUGCAGCAACGCCGCGUGAGGGAUGACGGCCUUCGGGUUGUAAACCUCUUUUAGUAGGGAAGAAGCGAAAGUGACGGUACCUGCAGAAAAAGCACCGGCUAACUACGUGCCAGCAGCCGCGGUAAUACGUAGGGUGCAAGCGUUGUCCGGAAUUAUUGGGCGUAAAGAGCUCGUAGGCGGUUUGUCGCGUCUGCUGUGAAAUCCCGAGGCUCAACCUCGGGUCUGCAGUGGGUACGGGCAGACUAGAGUGCGGUAGGGGAGAUUGGAAUUCCUGGUGUAGCGGUGGAAUGCGCAGAUAUCAGGAGGAACACCGAUGGCGAAGGCAGAUCUCUGGGCCGUAACUGACGCUGAGGAGCGAAAGCAUGGGGAGCGAACAGGAUUAGAUACCCUGGUAGUCCAUGCCGUAAACGUUGGGAACUAGAUGUGGGGACCAUUCCACGGUCUCCGUGUCGCAGCUAACGCAUUAAGUUCCCCGCCUGGGGAGUACGGCCGCAAGGCUAAAACUCAAAGGAAUUGACGGGGGCCCGCACAAGCGGCGGAGCAUGCGGAUUAAUUCGAUGCAACGCGAAGAACCUUACCAAGGCUUGACAUAUACCGGAAACAUGCAGAAAUGUGUGCCCCGCAAGGUCGGUAUACAGGUGGUGCAUGGUUGUCGUCAGCUCGUGUCGUGAGAUGUUGGGUUAAGUCCCGCAACGAGCGCAACCCUCGUUCUAUGUUGCCAGCACGUAAUGGUGGGAACUCAUAGGAGACUGCCGGGGUCAACUCGGAGGAAGGUGGGGAUGACGUCAAAUCAUCAUGCCCCUUAUGUCUUGGGCUUCACGCAUGCUACAAUGGCCGGUACAAAGGGCUGCGAUACCGUAAGGUGGAGCGAAUCCCAAAAAGCCGGUCUCAGUUCGGAUUGAGGUCUGCAACUCGACCUCAUGAAGUCGGAGUCGCUAGUAAUCGCAGAUCAGCAACGCUGCGGUGAAUACGUUCCCGGGCCUUGUACACACCGCCCGUCAAGUCAUGAAAGUCGGUAACACCCGAAGCCAGUGGCCUAACCGCAAGGGAGGAGCUGUCGAAGGUGGGAUCGGUGAUUAGGACUAAGUCGUAACAAGGUAGCCGUACCGGAAGGUGCGGCUGGAUCACCUCCUUUCU
rnacentral:rRNA from 1 species